rnacentral:lncRNA from 13 species
CUCGGAUCCCAGCCAGGAUCCCAGCCAGGAUCUCACCAAGGAUUCCAGACCGAUCCCAGCCAGGAUUCCAGACCGAUCCCAGCCAGAUCUCCAUCAGAUCCCAGCCAGGAUCCCACCAAGGAUUCCAGCCCGAUUCCAGCCAGAUCCCUGCCAGAUCUCCAUCAGAUCCCAGCCAGAUCUCAGCCAGGAUUCCAGCCAGAUCCCAGCCACAUCUCCAUCAGAUCUCAGCCAGGAUCCCACCAGGACCCAGCACAGAUCCCAGCCAGGAUCCCAGCCAGAUCUCCAUCAGAUCCCAGCCCGAUCCCAGCCCCAGGCUGGUCACGCCGCUCCUCCAGCCCGGCACCGAGGCCCCGCCCUGGGACCCUCCCCGAGCUCCUCUUCCUGAAGCUUCCAAGGCUCCUCCUUGGCACCAGAUCCCUCCUGGAUCCUCCAGACCCCACCUGGAUCCAUCAGAUCCCUCCUGGAUCCUCCAGACCCCACCUGUUUCUGUCAGAUCCCUCCUGGGUCCUCCAGACCCAACCCGGAUCUUGCAGAUCGCUCCUGGAUCCUGCAGACCCCACACAGAUACUCCAGAUCCCACCUAGAUCCUCCAGAUCUCUUCUGGCUCCACCAGAUCCCUCCUGGAUUUUCCAAAUCCCACUGGGAUUCUCCAGACCCUUCCUGGCUCCACCCGAUCUCACAUGGAUCCACCAGAUCCCAUCCAACUCAACCAGAUCCCUCCUGGAUCCUCCAGAUCCCUCCUGGCUCCACCAGAUCCCUCCUGGCUCCACCAGACCCCAAUCCUGCUCCCGUUCCCGAGGCCGCUCGGCUGGGACUGGAUUCCCGAGGAUCCCCGGACUCUCCGUCCGUCCCCGCCGGAUCCCCGGGCCCGAGGACGCUGGGAUCCCACCCCUCGGCACCCCCCGGGAUCCGGGGAGCCCCGAGUGUCCCCUCCUGGGGGGCCGCUGGCACCCAGAGACCCCCGGGAUGGAUUUUCCAAGGGGCCGGCACCGAUUUCGUUGGGAUUUUGACGAUUCCCGCCCCGUUCCCGGAGCUGCAGCGUCCCCGCGGCCCUCCCCGCAGGAUCCCAAGUGCCUGGGGACAUCCGGGGACACUGAGGGGACCCUGAGCGCUGGGGGUGGCCCCGUGGCCAACGGCCCCGUGGUCGUGGUCACCCCACAGCGAUGUCCUGGUGGUCAUCUGGGCUGUGGUCACCUCACAGCGAUGUCCCCUGGUCACCCCGGCCAUGGCCACCCCACAGCAAUGCCCCCGUGGUCAUCUGGGCCGUGGUCACCCCACAGCGAUGUCCCCUCAGUGACCCCGGCUGUAAUCACCCCACAGC